CAUGGGUUACAAAUAAAACUGGUUUUAACUCCUACAGAUUUUCUAGUUGUGGAUCCUAUUCCUAUCCAGAGGUAUCUAGGUACGUAACAAACUUUACAAGCAUUCGCAGCAACAUCCCUCUUUUUAAAGCUAGCCACUUGUCUAACCUCCUGUGAAGGCCACCGUCCCACAGAAUUUUUACAUUUACAUUUACAAUACAAUUCUUUACAUUUACAGUUACAAUGUUUUUCAUGAAAUUUUCAAGCUAGUUUUAGCUAGUCCUCCAUUUAGCUAGUCCUUCUCAACUUAGAUGACAGCUUUAAAUCCAAAAUACACAUUACACUUGGUAUACUAAUAGCAAACCAGUAGGUUUGAUAACAAAUUUGUUCCUUUUGCCUUGUUUCCUCUCCACAUAGCAACAUGAGAGGUUCUUCACCCACAGAUGAAAAUGCUGUAACUGAAACAGCCCCAGCUGUCUGAGCUGGUAGAGAUGCUUUGAGCUUCCUAUCGAGAAAAUAUGAGAAGAUUGCUUCCCGUGAAGAGCUACACAAGUUCAUGAAGAGUCCCUUCAGCUCCAUACCAAGACUGAGUGUUUCCUAUUCACAGUGGGAUACCUGUUGCCAUUAGGCAACAGAACUAUGUUCAUAGAAGAGGUUCUGUAUUUUGAUACAUAUAUCCUUUUCAGUAGGAUCUAGUGGAUAGCAACAAUACCCAGAAGAUACACUGAGUACCUCACUGGAAUGAUUCUGACAAGGAAAAUGGCACUGAGGCAAAAAAGCCCUUAAGGUCUGGUCAGCUUGAAAAUUAUCAAAGGAGCUGUUCACCAUGGCCAAUGAGAUGUUUGAGGAACAUACCACUUAAUUUCUACUUCAAGAGCUCCAGAAGAGA